rnacentral:tRNA from 14 species
GGUCGCGCGCGUGGGCUUGAAUGAGCGCGGGCUGGAUUGCGGCCUGGGGCGGUUCGACUCCGAC